rnacentral:rRNA from 1 species
AGUCGACUGGAAUUCACCUUCGGGUGAUAGUACGGUGGCGGACGGGUGAGUAACGCGUAAAGAACUUGCCCUCUAGACUGGGACAACUGUUGGAAACGACGCUAAUACCGGAUAUUAUGAGAUUCUCGCAUGGGAAACUUAUGAAAGGCUAUAUGCGCUAGAGGAGAGCUUUGCGUGCCAUUAGGUAGUUGGUAGGGUAAUGGCCUACCAAGCCGACGAUGGCUAGCCGGCCUGAGAGGGUGAUCGGCACAGGGGACUGAGACACGCCCUUACUCCUACGGAGGCAGCAGUGGGGAAUAUUGGACUGGACAAAGUCUGAU